GAAAGGCGGCUUUGCUGUCACUUAUAGAUGGAUCCGCGCCGUAUUAGCUAGUUGGUAAGGUAACGGCUUACCAAGGCAACGAUACGUAGCCGACCUGAGAGGGUGAUCGGCCACACUGGAACUGAGACACGGUCCAGACUCCUACGGGAGGCAGCAGUAGGGAAUCUUCCGCAAUGGGCGAAAGCCUGACGGAGCAACGCCGCGUGAGUGAUGAAGGUCUUCGGAUCGUAAAACUCUGUUAUCAGGGAAGAACAAAUGUGUAAGUAACUGUGCACAUCUUGACGGUACCUGAUCAGAAAGCCACGGCUAACUACGUGCCAGCAGCCGCGGUAAUACGUAGGUGGCAAGCGUUAUCCGGAAUUAUUGGGCGUAAAGCGCGCGUAGGCGGUUUUUUAAGUCUGAUGUGAAAGCCCACGGCUCAACCGUGGAGGGUCAUUGGAAACUGGAAAACUUGAGUGCAGAAGAGGAAAGUGGAAUUCCAUGUGUAGCGGUGAAAUGCGCAGAGAUAUGGAGGAACACCAGUGGCGAAGGCGACUUUCUGGUCUGUAACUGACGCUGAUGUGCGAAAGCGUGGGGAUCAAACAGGAUUAGAUACCCUGG
rnacentral:rRNA from 1 species